rnacentral:lncRNA from 1 species
CAGGCUUCCCUGUGUGUUUUGGCAGGGAUUGGCCGGAACAGGGAAACAGUGAUGUGCAGAACUCAAGAAUAAUAGAAAAAGAGUGAAGUGAUACUUUCUGAAUCUCAGAAUUUCUCGUUUGGGUUCAUUUCAAAUUUGGGGCAAAGAACGCGGGGCUGGUUCUCCUUCUGUGCUUAGGGAGGGCUCUGCUCUCUCUGCGUUAGGAAUACUCUUCCGCACAAUGAUCAGUUGAAAUAUUCUCUCUCUUUUCCCAAAUAAAAUUCUGAGCACCAGUUAUAAUGCUGUGUGUUUCCCAGUCCUCAUGGGACUUGCCAUGAGUGUUUUCAAGGAGACCCGUGGAGAGCACAGUUGCCAUGUUUGUCAAAGGGCUGACUCAUGGGUGCACAUGAGCCGGGGGAAGGCACUGGCCUUUAAGGAGCUGCUACUUGGGGUGCAUAUGAGCCAGGCCCGCUCGUGUGAGGCGAGAGCCACAUGAGGAUGACUACGACACAGACGCUUUCCUCAAGGAGCUUCCAAUCCAAAGGUCAGAGGUCAGAGCACAGUAUCCAAGUGCAAGGACGGAGAUGCACCCAGGCAGUUGUGGGGGUGCAGGACACCAGCACUUACCUGGCCAGGGGCCCAGGAAGACUUCCAGGAGGAGGAGAACAAUUAAAGGGAAGUGACUGGGAAAUGCAGAUCUGUGAAAGGAUCCAGUGAAGCCUGCAGUUGACUAGAUGAUGUUCAUGGCGCAGCUGAGGCUCACGGUAACAGGGCAACCCACUGCAAAUCUGGGAAACAGAAAAAGAGGCAGCAGGCAAGAUAAAAAGGAAGACAUUGCCAAGGGCACAGCUGGCGUGGAGAAAGGCUUGGGAGACCAGAGGAGAAGGAGAUGCUCCCAAACCUGGAAGGGUGGGCGCAGGCGGCCGGUGAGAGACAGGCCAGUAGAAGAAAUUGUUACUGUAGACUCAAUUUGGAACCCCUUCACAGUUUUGAGAAGCCCAGGGCAAGGAGAGCCUGCGGAAGGAUCCAGUUCCCUAGUUCGACGCCACCUUGGUGCCCCUCGUCCUCCCUGGAUUCUCAGGCUCUUGGAGCUGAAAGGACGCAUCUGCCCACACUCAGCUGCAGCAGAGAGCCACGUCUGCAAGGCUGGGACAGGGCCCUAAUGUCACAGCCGCCCAUGGGAGCCCUGACAUUGGUCGACCCCCAGAGGGCCCCCACCCCACCCCCAACGGCUGAGCCAGAGCUUGCUGGGCAUCCUCCACCCCCACCUCGGCAGCACUCCUGGGGGCUGCUUUAGUAUUAAGCGUUAAUGAUUAAAUCCGGGGUUCUCCAUUAACCCCGCCGCGGGCCUUUGUCUCCGGCCGCCUGGGAGCCUCCCCCUUUGAAAUGCCACAUAAAAAUGAUCGAUGCCCUUUGCCUCCCUCCGGGGGUCGGCGGGUCCUGUUUCCCUUUAAAGCUCGAGUAGACAACCAGGGCGCGCCCCGCUUAAACACAGAAGCCGGAGGCCGGGGAGGCGAGCGCGCGGCGGGCUUCGGGACUGGCCCGCGAGGGGCGGCCCGGGCGGCCACUGCGACCCGCGGGACGGCAGCUCGCUUAGGAUGGGAGGGGAUUUGGAGACAGGUCUCUUUGCCAGGGAUCACAGUGAUGGCGAUAAUAAUAACAUAAACCACAAGAAGAACGCUUGACCUGUCCACCUGGCCAAGCGUUGAAAUGAGAACUGAAUGAGAAAGGAUGUGGGCACAGUUGGUAAAUUUCAAAUUCUGCACCCAAGUUACUCAGAGCGGGGUCCAGGGACCAGCAGCAUCGCAUCCCCUGCCGGUUUGUUAGAAAUGCGGCAUCUUAGGCACGCUAGACCAGAAUCUGUAUUUUAAUUAGAUUCCCAGAUGACUCAUGUGCACAUUACAGUUUGAGAAGUCUGGUCUACAUAACCAGUAAUUCUGGUAAUAAUAGUAACAAUACUGGCUUACGUAUAUUGAGCACUUGUCAUGAGCCAGCAUUGUUCUAAGCACCUUACGUAAUUGUCCUCUUUAAUCCUUACAACGUGCUAGAUGCACCAUUUUGCAGAUGGUAAGGUAGAGGUCCAGGGAGAUUUGGUGGCUUGCCAGAGGUCACCCAUGUAGGGAUUAGAAUCCCAGGUGAGAACAGGCUCACAUACAAGCAGCCACACAGAGACCCCUUCUAGGUUAGCUCCUGAGGGUGUGCCACCUCAAGCUGGGGACUGGCUUUUGGAAUAAUCAGGAGCCAACUCCUGGUGGCUCAGUGUGCACCCAGCUGAGAUGGAUUAGCAACAAGCACGCUUGGCCACAGAAAGAUGUGCUCCUCGUGUUGCCCACCUCCAUCUGCUGGAGAUAGACGUGCAGCAUGUCCCAUCUCCACCCUCCAGCUUUUAGGAAGAAACCCCAGUGCUGGAUGUGAGCAACCCCCAACCGCCCACGUUCCCCCAGGUCCUCUGUAGAGCCAUGAAAGGGUUAAGUUCGGGCUCAGCCACUACAUAAAUCUGUGUUUAUCUGCUGCAAAGUAAGCUAUUUAGGUUUCUGAUUUACAAUCCUUGGUUUUCAUAAAAGUCAGUCAUUCCGAGUAAAAGAAUGUGGGUUAGAUUUAUAGGAUUUGCGUUAGGCUUUAAAGCCCAGAGCUGGUCUAUGACUCACCCUCCAUAAUGUUUUUGCUCUAGUCCGGAGAUAUUCAUGUGCAAAGAGAAAGAUUCAGAUCUCUGCCCUGAAAAAUAAGACUUUUGGGGGGAACUAAUUAUAAUGGCGUCAAUUGUACUGUGCUUGUAAACUCGCCGGCUGUGGGCCCCCCUGGAGCCUGUUUUCCAGGGGUUUUAUUCCGCAAUAAAAUGUGCUCUGCUUUGCA